GGUGUAGAACUCAGUGGUUGAGUGCAUGACUAAAGUUCACGAGGCCCUGGGUUCAAUUCCCAGCAGCAUCA
rfam:Ictidomys tridecemlineatus contig052433, whole genome shotgun sequence.